rnacentral:lncRNA from 1 species
AACAACGCGGGACGGUGACGUUCGGAAUCCGGCGAGUUACUCGUAAUCUGAUUGUACAAUAAUUACCAACCGGUGGUCGCAAAUAUAUAUGUGAAAGUGUAUAAACUCGAUUUAUGUAUUGCAAGUAACUGAGAGAGUUGAGUAAAUAUAGUCUUUUGUAUUGAUUCUUGCAUUAGUCCUUUGACACUAUACAAUGGGGGUAUUUAUAGUGAUACAUAUGGAAUGGGGACCCUUGGAUGAAGUGGCACGUGGCCUCAUCUCCAUAGUUUAAAUGUCUGUUCAUAGGCAUGGGAUUUGACUUGCUAGCUUACGGCGCAUUUAUUGUUUGUGCAGGACCUCCACGCUAGUGACAAGACUUGACCUUUAUGCUUAUGACAAACAUUCCAUCAAUCAUUCGAAUAAGAUCUGUGCAGGGGAUCCCUUGGGAGAAGUGACCAUGGAGGAUGUUUCCUUGUGGUUGAGGCUCGCGCAUCAACUUCGGGGCUUCGUCCAUUCGAGGACCUCAGCUACAACAAAACCUUCCAC